ACAUUAUAGGGUAUUAUAGGGUAAUACCCAAAACAAUGCUUUGUUGUGCUUAUAAUAUACAAAGAUGCAAUAUGCACAACAUGCUAGCCCGGGAAAGGGCCAGACUGCAUGGACCCAGGAAGGGCCAGGUUUCUCUCCUGGAACCAAGUGGGACCACAGUUGGAGCUGGUAUUUUAUUUUUCUUUCUGAAGUUGGUUUCCUUUUUAGUCUGUUAAUUUGGUGGAAUACAUUGGUUGAAUUCCUGAUGCUGACCAGCUUUGCAUUCUUAGAAUAAACCCUACUUGGUCAUGAUGUAUAAUUAUUUAUACAUAUAGCUAGACUCAGUUUGCUCGUAUUUUGCUGAGAUUUUUGAGUCUGAGUUCAGGGGGUUAUUGAUCCAUAGUUUUCUUUUCUCUUUUUAUAUUGCUUUUAUCUGGUUUUGGUCUCCUGGUAAUCUUGGUCUCAUAAAAUGAGUUAGGAUGUGUUACCUCUCUUAAUGUCUGGAAGAAAUUGUGUGGAAUUUCUUUUAAUUCCUCUUUAAAUGUGUGUGUGUGUGUAUAUAUAUAUAUACCCAAUCCGUAACUAUUGUAUAUCUAACAACCUCUGUCUAUUAAAAAACACAAAUUCAUACUGAUGCCUCUAAUUUCAACCCAACCACAAGAUUUAUUCUGGCCUUCCCCCCUUUCCAAAUCUGUAACUCUCCUCACCAACAGUGAGAGACCUGCCUCUCAAUGCACUAGCUUCUCUUACUUUCCCAGUAAGUAACCCAUCUCCUGACCCCCCUGGCUACGUCCAAGGGCACCUCCAUGACCUCUACUCUCUCAGCCAGAUCUUUAGCCAUCUGUUCAACCCCAUCUCUAUCCCUUAAAUUACAUUUUAGAUAAAAAUACACUUAAAAUAUAGUGGCCAGCAGCAUCUAUAAAAUUACUAAUUUUAAUAGUUUAUUUGAAUAUUCUUUGAAUCUUCUUCAUGUGCAAUCAUAUUUUAUUUCUUCAUUUUUUUUUAAUUUUUCUUGUCAGGACGCUGUAAAAGGCCAAUGGAAGGCAUGUUUGUUCUCUAGCACAGAGGAAAAGUGUUCCUAGUUCAUUGAUUAGAUAUACUGCUUGUUGUAAAUUUUCUGUCAAUAUCUUAUAUAUGAUUUAAGAAGAACUGUUUUUUUUUUCUAGAUGAUAAAGAACUUUAAAAAUCCUGAAUGGAGGUUAAUUUUAUGGAUUUUACUGUGUCCACAUUUCUAGAGGUGAUCUGGUGGACUUUCUUAUUUUGUUAAUGUGUAUGGUACCUUAAUUAAUUUUAAAAUCUAUAACAACCUUGCAUCCCUGAAUAAACCCAACUUGCUGAUGGUGUAUUCUUCUUUUUACAUGUCGCUGAAUUAGUUUGAUAAUUUUAAGGACUUUAAUAUCUCUGUUCAUCAAAAAGAGUGGCUUAUUGUUUUUCUUUCUUGUGGUGCCUGACAGGUUUGGGAAACACAACUAGGCUGGCCUUGCAGAACAGUACUGGGAAGUGCUCCCUCUUUUUCAGUUCACUACAAUACUUUUUGUUGUUGUUUGUAAGAUUAGUGUUAUUUUCUUUUAAAUGUUCAAAUAAUUCUCCGGAGAUCUGCUCUGGGUCUAGCGUUUUCUUUGUGGAAGAUUUUCA
rnacentral:lncRNA from 1 species